CUUGNGCGAGAGUAGUACUAGGAUGGGUGACCCCCUGGGAAGUCCUCGUGUUGCACCCCCCCAUUCUUUUUGCAUCUUUUUUGCCUUUUUGGGGGAAGGUGGUGAAAGGAAACGCGCGUACGAGAGAACGUGGCUUAGUAAACGCGCACGCGCGACGUAAAACUCACAACGCGCGGCACCGACACGCGGGAAUGUAGGCACAAAAUCGGACAAUCCUAACGGUUGGGAAUAUAGGAGUAAAAAGGGAGAACCCUANCGGGUGCGA
rnacentral:misc_RNA from 1 species